rnacentral:lncRNA from 1 species
AGCGCCUCUCUUAACCUUGUCCUUUAUAGCUAUGCCUUUGUCCUCUUCUCCAUUUUUGACUAAAAUUCAACCUCCAACAAUCAAAGUACAAUCUUUGUCCGCCCCAUUUCAAGCAAAAUAAGAGCUUCUCUCAUCCGAUUUUGGCGUGUAUAGAUGACCAAGAGAUGAUCCUCCCAUUUUUACACUACAAGACUUGUCGAAUCUCUCUACCUCAGUCGAGAUCUUACCAUUUCGUGCAAGAACUGAGCGAAUCACGUGAAUCCCUAUUACUAUGCCAACGUUCGGAUUUGAACGGCUCUGUUUGACUUCAUUUGAAAUCUGAAAAUUUCAAAUCCCGCUCAGAAACGGAACCCUAGUUUUCUCCUAUAAAUACUCCUCAACUCUCCAGCCGAAAGAUCAUCUUUUGGAAUCCUGGAAAAUAGAUAGAACACGGCAAAAUCGAAUCAAUAAGUAAUUCUCUUCUUUUCUGUAAUCUCUGUCCCUAUUUAGUUAGCUAAAACAGAGUUUCGAUCUUGUUACGUGGAGGGAGUAAAUUUGAAGCUUCUCAAACUCCCGUUCACUGCACCACACCAGGUGAAAUUCGGACCCAUUCUUAUUUUCGUUAUCGCCGACGAGUUUUCUUUGUGUUAGAACUCAUGCUUUAGGUUUUCGAAAGCCUGUUUAUUGAACCUUGUGACAGAGUGUAUAGACUUCACGCAAUAGAAACUUUGUCCUUAGGAAAACUGAUUUUAUGACUACUUGUUCAAAUACUUGUUUGAUGAAUGUUUGACGAAAUGCCUGUAUGUAUACAUUAGUUUUCAUUUGUUGGGAUGUAACCAUGUGCAGGCUCUUAAAUGAUUAUUGGUGUGCCGACGGCGUACUGUUUAAUUAUGAACACACACGAAAAUGUCCUUGCUCCUAAACUCUUAGUUGGAAGUUAGUUCAGAAUUCUCUUUAAUUUCACCCAUUCCAUGGAUCAUUGAAUCAGUUAAUGUGUUGCAUUUUUUCUUGUUUAUUUUAGUUGCAUUAUGGUAGUAUAGAAACCAUGUAUGUUAGAAGAUUUAUAUCUAUGUAAUACUUGUAAUCUGAAUGCAAUAGAACUAGUAUGCUUAACAAUGGGCUGGAGUCUCUCCCCUAUUUUAGAGAUCAUGAUCUAGUUAUUGUUUAGGUUAUAGAGGUUAUGCCCAAAACAAUCUGCUUGUCUGUAUGAUAAAUUAAAUAUAGUUGCUGAUUUAAAUGUUGAGGCUUUGGUUUUCUGCUAGCAAUAGAGUUAAACAUCUAUAAUAACUUAGUAAUAAUGAAAACUGAGUUCAUAGGUACAUGUUAGACAUAUUUUUAGGCCUCAAUUGUAUUCUGUCAAACUUAAGGAAUAUAUAAUAGCAUGUUAGCUUUGUUAAGAAUUAAACCUGAUUUGUUUUCAUUAUAGAGAUCUUGAUUUUUGCUUAGGGAUAAACUACAGAACAUAUAAAUUGCUCUAGAUUUGCCCUUAACAGAGCCAUGUCCUAAGAAGUAGAAACCAUGUAUUGUUCUUUCUUUAAGAAAUAUUGGAUAUACACAUGUUCUUGAAAUUUUAAGAAUCUCUUCUCUGUUUGUUACAACUAAUUGUAUUUGUUUUAUCUGGAAUAUUGAGCUUGUCCGAACACAUAUAAUAUCUAUGUGUUACAGUGUUAACAUGGUUUGUUUGUGUAGUUUAGAGACUAUUAGAUUACAUAACAAUAUGACGCUUUACUUUAUCUAUUUUCCUGUGAAUGUUUAAGAAUCAGAGCCAAAGAGUUUCAAUUUAAGACUCAACGACGCCAUAAAAAUCGCAUGGAGUCAGCACACUUUGAUGUUUCACUGCUUAUGUAGCGACAAAACAACAAAAUUAUUCCGCAUGGCGGUUCUGGCGGAGAAGCCAGUCAAUUGUCCUUUACAUUUCUGCAUUAAUCACAAUGUUGCUUCUUUGUGUUUGGUGACAGUUUAAAUAGUCAUAUUUUAGAAUCUUAAUUGUUAUGUGAUACUAUAUCAAUUCGGCGAGGCGUCUUUCUAGAUAAUAAUAGAGAUACUCAUCACAUAGAACACAUCUUGACAUAGGGAAUAUUAACAACAUUGGUUUUUCAACUAUAUAAUUGUUUUUCUUA